rnacentral:rRNA from 1 species
UACGAAGGGGGCUAGCGUUGUUCGGAAUUACUGGGCGUAAAGCGCGUGUAGGCGGGUCUUUAAGUCAGGGGUGAAAUCCUGGAGCUCAACUCCAGAACUGCCUUUGAUACUGAAGAUCUUGAGUUCGGGAGAGGUGAGUGGAACUGCGAGUGUAGAGGUGAAAUUCGUAGAUAUUCGCAAGAACACCAGUGGCGAAGGCGGCUCACUGGCCCGAGACUGACGCUGAGGCGCGAAAGCGUGGGGAGCGAACAGG